UACGUAGGGUGCAAGCGUUAAUCGGAAUUACUGGGCGUAAGGCGUGCGCAGGCGGUUGUGCAAGACCGAUGUGAAAUCCCCGGGCUUAACCUGGGAAUGGCAUUGGAGACUGCAAGGCUUGAAUCUGGCAGAGGGGGGGUAGAAUUCCACGUGUAGCAGUGAAAUGCGUAGAGAUGUGGAGGAACACCGAUGGCGAAGGCAGCCCCCUGGGUCAAGAUUGACGCUCAUGCACGAAAGCGUGGGGAGCAAACAGG
rnacentral:rRNA from 1 species